rnacentral:tRNA from 1 species
GAUCUGUGUGGUUAGAGCAUCUGCUUUGCAUGCAGAAGGUCCCAGGUUCAAUCCCUGAUGGCAUCGCCA